GACAGAGGGUGCAAACGUUGCUCGGAAUCACUGGGCGUAAAGGGCGCGUAGGCGGCCAGCACAAGUCAGUUGUGAAAUCUCCGAGCUUAACUCGGAACGGUCAACUGAUACUGUGCGGCUAGAGUGCGGAAGGGGCAACUGGAAUUCUCGGUGUAGCGGUGAAAUGCGUAGAGAUCAUGAGGAAGACCAGUGGCGAAGGCGGGUCUCUGGACAGUUCCUGACACUGAGACACGAAGGCCAGGGGAGCAAACGGG
rnacentral:rRNA from 1 species